UAUGAUGCGCUGUGCGUGCGUGCGUGCGCGCCUGCGUCGCAUUCUGUUGCUGUAGCCGCUUUUGUCCGACUAUUUUCGACGGCAGCAGCAGAUAAAAUAAGCAAAAAUCUACUUGUCGAGAAUGUUCAGUUUGCUGAUACCCUACACCGAACACAAAAUAUAAGUGUUCAUACAUUCUUAUGGAGAAUACACAAAGUAAAUUUCAUUCAGAGAUGUGCAAAAAUGUGUAAAGAAAUCAACCAGUGGAUGUACAUUAAUACAUAAAGGGUAUACGCUAUCGUGGAGGCAGACACGCGAAACGAAAAUAGGAAGCAAUAAAACUUAAAAGAAACAAAUGCACAAUAAAAUGCAAAUCAAAUGACAAA